UACGAAGGGUGCAAACGUUAUUCGGAAUCACUGGGCUUAAAGGGCGCGUAGGCGGCCGAGCGGGUCGUGGGUGAAAUCCUCCAGCUUAACUGGAGAACCGCUUACGAUACCACUGCGGCUCGAGGAAGGAAGGGGCAAUCGGAACUGUCGGUGGAGCGGUGAAAUGCGUUGAUAUCGACAGGAACGCCGGUGGCGAAAGCGGAUUGCUGGUCCUUUUCUGACGCUGAGGCGCGAAAGCCAGGGGAGCAAACGGG
rnacentral:rRNA from 1 species